rnacentral:rRNA from 1 species
UACAGAGGUGGCAAGCGUUGUUCGGAAUUACUGGGCGUAAAGGGCGCGUAGGCGGCCUUCUAAGUCAGACGUGAAAUCCCCCGGCUUAACCUGGGAACUGCGUCUGAUACUGGGAGGCUUGAGUAUGGUAGAGGGAUGUAGAAUUCCAGGUGUAGCGGUGAAAUGCGUAGAUAUCUGGAGGAAUACCGAUGGCGAAGGCAGCCCCCUGGGAUAACACUGACGCUCAUGCACGAAAGCGUGGGGAGCAAACAGG